rnacentral:rRNA from 1 species
ACAUGCAAGUCGAACGAAUAGCAAUACUUAGUGGCAGACGGGUGAGUAACAUGUAGGUAUCUUCCCUUUGGUGAGGAAUAACACGAGGAAACUUGUGCUAAUACCUCAUAAGUCUUUACGGAGAAAGCUUUAUGCGCCGAAGGAUGAGCCUGCACUUGAUUAGUUUGUUGGUGGGGUAAUGGCCUACCAAGACUUUGAUCAAUAGCUGAUCUGAGAGGAUGAUCAGCCACAUUGGGACUGAGACACGGCCCAAACUCCUACGGGAGGCAGCAGUAGGGAAUAUUGCACAAUGGAGGAAACUCUGAUGCAGCGAUGCCGCGUGAGUGAAGAAGGCCUUUGGGUUGUAAAGCUCUUUCGUCGGGGAAGAAAAUGACUGUACCCGAAUAAGAAGGUCCGG